UUACGGGAGGCAGCAGUGGGGGAAUAUUGCGCAAAUGGGGGAAAAACCUGAUGCAGCAACGCCGCGUGGAGGAUGACACAUUUCGGUGCGUAAACUCCUUUUAUAUAGGAAGAUAAUGACGGUACUAUAUGAAUAAGCGCCGGCUAACUCCGUGCCAGCAGCCGCGGUAAUACGGAGGGCGCAAGCGUUACUCGGAAUCACUGGGCGUAAAGAGCGUGUAGGCGGGUUAAUAAGUUUGAAGUGAAAUCCUAUGGCUCAACCAUAGAACUGCUUUGAAAACUGUUAACCUAGAAUAUGGGAGAGGUAGAUGGAAUUUCUGGUGUAGGGGUAAAAUCCGUAGAGAUCAGAAGGAAUACCGAUUGCGAAGGCGAUCUACUGGAACAUUAUUGACGCUGAGACGCGAAAGCGUGGGGAGCAAAGGAGGAUUAGAUACCCUGGUAGUCCACGCCCUAAACGAUGUACGCUAGUUGUUGUGAGGCUAGACCUUGCAGUAAUGCAGUAAACACAU
rnacentral:rRNA from 1 species